rnacentral:misc_RNA from 1 species
GAUGAAGAACGCAGCGAAAUGCGAUAAGUAAUGUGAAUUGCAGAAUUUAGUGAAUCAUCGAAUCUUUGAACGCACAUUGCGCCCCUUGGUAUUCCGAGGGGCAUGCCUGUUCGAGCGUCAUUUCAACCAUCAAGCCCCCGGCUUGUGUUGGGGACCUGCGGCUGCCGCAGGCCCUGAAAACCAGUGGCGGGCUCGCUAGUCACUCCGAGCGUAGUAAUACAUCUCGCUCAGGGCGUGCUGCGGGUUCCGGCCGUUAAAAGCCUUAUUUACCCAAGGUUGACCUCGGAUCAGGUAGGAAGACCCGCUGAACUUAAGCAUAUCAAUAAGCGGAGGA